rnacentral:lncRNA from 1 species
AUGGAUGAAAAAUUUUUGGGUGGAGAACUAAACAGGGCCUAAUUUGUUUAUUUUCACAUUUCUCGAAAUUAUUGGAAACAUGACAAGCCGAUAAGAGAUAAAACAGGACGAGAUUUCACAGGAACCAAAUGAAAAACAGGCUAUGCUUUUUUCCAGUCAGUAUUUGCAAAAUCUCAUUUUCAUAUUGAUGUAUUAUUUCUUUUUUUUAACAAAAAUGUCUAGAAUAAUAGUCCAAUUGUAUGCAAGAGGCAGACCAUCUCAAAUGAUCUACUCCAUCCGUCCUGUAAUAUAGUGUAUUUAGGACAGAUUAAUAGAGAUUUACAAAGGAUGUAUGUGCCCUCACUUUAUUUUCUAAUAAGAUGCUAUCAUUAAUACGAUUAGUGGUGAUUGAUUGAUAAAUGGAAAAAACAUUUAAUGAAAAAUUGAUUUGUCUUCUAGAAUGUCUUAUAUUUGAGGAUAAAUUUGAAUGUCAUAAUGCGCUAUAUUGUACUCACUCCAUAUCCAC